rnacentral:rRNA from 1 species
AGUGAACGCUGGCGGUAGGCCUAACACAUGCAAGUCGAACGGCAGCACAGUAAGAGCUUGCUCUUACGGGUGGCGAGUGGCGGACGGGUGAGGAAUACAUCGGAAUCUACUUUUUCGUGGGGGAUAACGUAGGGAAACUUACGCUAAUACCGCAUACGACCUACGGGUGAAAGCAGGGGAUCUUCGGACCUUGCGCGAUUGAAUGAGCCGAUGUCGGAUUAGCUAGUUGGCGGGGUAAAGGCCCACCAAGGCGACGAUCCGUAGCUGGUCUGAGAGGAUGAUCAGCCACACUGGAACUGAGACACGGUCCAGACUCCUACGGGAGGCAGCAGUGGGGAAUAUUGGACAAUGGGCGCAAGCCUGAUCCAGCCAUACCGCGUGGGUGAAGAAGGCCUUCGGGUGGUAAAGCCCUUUGUUGGGAAAGAAAAGCAGCAGGUUAAUACCCCGCUGUUCUGACGGUACCCAAAGAAUAAGCACCGGCUAACUUCGUG